rnacentral:rRNA from 1 species
GUAAAACUGGACAAAAAAGAGUACAACUCUUAGCGGUGGAUCACUCGGCUUGAAUC